rnacentral:rRNA from 1 species
AGAGUUUGAUCAUGGCUCAGAUUGAACGCUGGCGGCAGGCCUAACACAUGCAAGUCGAGCGGAUGAGAAGAGCUUGCUCUUCGAUUCAGCGGCGGACGGGUGAGUAAUGCCUAGGAAUCUGCCUGGUAGUGGGGGACAACGUUUCGAAAGGAACGCUAAUACCGCAUACGUCCUACUGGAGAAAGCAGGGGACCUUCGGGCCUUGCGCUAUCAGAUGAGCCUAGGUCGGAUUAGCUAGUUGGUGAGGUGAUGGCUCACCAAGGCUACGAUCCGUAACUGGUCUGAGAGGAUGAUCAGUCACACUGGAACUGAGACACGGUCCAGACUCCUACGGGAGGCAGCAGUGGGGAAUAUUGCACAAUGGGGGAAACCCUGAUGCAGCCAUGCCGCGUGUGUGAAGAAGGCCUUCGGGUUGUAAAGCACUUUCAGCGAGGAGGAAAGGCUGAUGCCUAAUACGCAUCAGCUGUGACGUUACUCGCAGAAGAAGCACCGGCUAACUCCGUGCCAGCAGCCGCGUAAU